CGUGGGUAACCUGCCCUAUAGUGGGGGAUAGCCUUUCGAAAGGAAGAUUAAUACCGCAUAAGAUUGUAGUAUCGCAUGAUAUAGCAAUUAAAGGAGCAAUCCGCUAUAAGAUGGACCCGCGUCGCAUUAGCUAGUUGGUGAGGUAAUGGCUCACCAAGGCGACGAUGCGUAGCCGACCUGAGAGGGUGAUCGGCCACAUUGGGACUGAGACACGGCCCAGACUCCUACGGGAGGCAGCAUG
rnacentral:rRNA from 1 species